rnacentral:rRNA from 1 species
GGGGAAUAUUGGACAAUGGGCGCAAGCCUGAUCCAGCCAUGCCGCGUGAGUGAUGAAGGCCCUAGGGUUGUAAAGCUCUUUCGGCGGGGACGAUAAUGACGGUACCCGCAGAAGAAGCCCCGGCUAACUUCGUGCCAGCAGCCGCGGUAAUACGAAGGGGGCUAGCGUUGUUCGGAAUCACUGGGCGUAAAGCGCACGUAGGCGGAUUAUUAAGUCAGGGGUGAAAUCCCGAGGCUCAACCUCGGAACUGCCUUUGAUACUGGUAAUCUUCGAGUCCGAGAGAGGUGAGUGGAACUCCGAGUGUAGAGGUGAAAUUCGUAGAUAUUCGGAAGAACACCAGUGGCGAAGGCGGCUCACUGGCUAGGUACUGACGCUGAGGUGCGAAAGCGUGGGGAGCAAAC